ensembl:snRNA U6 U6 spliceosomal RNA
GUGCUUUGGCAGCACAUACACUAAAAUUGGAAUGAUACAGAGAAGAUUAGCAUGGCCCCUGUGCAAGGAUGACAUGCAAAUUCAUGAUGUAUUCCAUAUUUUU